rnacentral:rRNA from 1 species
UACAGAGGUCUCAAGCGUUGUUCGGAUUCAUUGGGCGUAAAGGGUGCGUAGGCGGCGGGGAAAGUCUGAUGUGAAAUCCUGGGGCUCAACCCUGGAACUGCAUUGGAUACUUCCUUGCUAGAGUACUGGAGAGGAAACUGGAAUUUACGGUGUAGCAGUGAAAUGCGUAGAGAUCGUAAGGAAGACCAGUGGCGAAGGCGAGUUUCUGGACAGUUACUGACGCUGAGACGCGAAAGCGUGGGGAGCAAACAGG